UUGAACGCUGGCGGAAUGCUUUACACGUGCAAGUCGAGCGGCAGCGCGGGGGCAACCCUGGCGGCGAGCGGCGAACGGGUGAGUAACAUAUCGGAACGUACCCUGUCGUGGGGGAUAACACAUCGAAAGAUGUGCUAAUACCGCAUACGACCUGAGGGUGAAAGCGGGGGAUCGCAAGACCUCGCGCGAUAGGAACGGCCGAUAUCGGCUUAGCUAGUUGGUGAGGUAAAGGCUCACCAAGGCGACGAUCAGUAGCUGGUCUGAGAGGAUGAUCAGCCACACUGGAACUGAGACACGGUCCAGACUCCUACGGGAGGCAGCAGUGGGGAAUUUUGGACAAUGGGGGAAACCCUGAUCCAGCCAUUCCGCGUGAGUGAAGAAGGCCUUCGGGUUGUAAAGCUCUUUCAGGAGGGAAGAAACGGUUACGGAUAAUACCUGUGACUAAUGACGGUACCUUCAGAAGAAGCACCGGCUAACUACGU
rnacentral:rRNA from 1 species